rnacentral:rRNA from 1 species
CUACGAGGGGCUGCAGUGAGGAAUAUUGCACAAUGGGGGGAACCCUGAUGCAGCAACGCCGCGUGGAGGAUGACGCAUUUCGGUGUGUAAACUCCUUUUAUAUGUCAAGAAAAUGACGGUAGCAUAUGAAUAAGCACCGGCUAACUCCGUGCCAGCAGCCGCGGUAAUACGGAGGGUGCAAGCGUUACUCGGAAUCACUGGGCGUAAAGGACGCGUAGGCGGGUUGGAAAGUCAGGUGUGAAAUCCUACAGCUUAACUGUAGAACUGCACUUGAAACUUCUAAUCUAGAGGAUGGGAGGGGGGGUGGAAAUAAUGGGGUAGGGGUUAAAUCCGUAGAUAUAAAUAGGGAAAACUAAAGCGGAGGCGAACUCCUGGAACAUUACUGACGCUAAGGCGUGAAAGCGUGGGGAGCAAACAGGAUUAGAUACCCCGGUAGUC